UACGUAGGGACCAAGCGUUGUUCGGAUUUACUGGGCGUAAAGGGCGCGUAGGCGGCGUGACAAGUCACUUGUGAAAUCUCUGGGCUUAACCCAGAACGGCCAAGUGAAACUGUUGUGCUAGAGUGCAGAAGGGGCAAUCGGAAUUCUCGGUGUAGCGGUGAAAUGCGUAGAUAUCGAGAGGAACACCAGUGGCGAAGGCGAGUCCCUGGACAGGUCCUGACGCUGAGGCACGAAAGCUAGGGGAGCAAACAGG
rnacentral:rRNA from 1 species